rnacentral:rRNA from 1 species
AACGUAGGACGCAAGCGUUAUCCGGAGUUACUGGGCGUAAAGCGCGGGCAGGCGGUUCCUUAAGUCUGAUGUGAAAGCGCCCGGCUCAACCGGGCGAGGCCAUUGGAAACUAGGGGACUGGAGGGCAGUAGAGGUAGGCGGAAUUCCGGGUGGAGUGGUGAAAUGCGUAGAGAUCCGGAGGAACACCAGAGGCGAAGGCGGCCUACUGGGCUGCACCUGACGCUGAGCCGCGAAAGCCAGGGGAGCGAACGGGAUUAGAAACCCCCGUAGUCC